UGUUCCCUGCGGUGUUCGUCAAGGCCAUAGAUUCCUUGAACCAAUGCUAAGUUGGCAUCGGUUGGCUGACCGUAAAUACCACUGUUGUGCCCGUCCCUCCGUCGGAUGGGCCUGAUGUGGAAGGAAAGCUACCUCAUCUGAACCCAGGUUCAGGAUGCCGGUCUAACGGCACAGGCGGGGACUUA
rnacentral:other from 1 species